UGACAAUGAGGAGGUUGGUUCACAGAGUGCUCAAGGUGCAGGCUCCAUGCUAACAGAGCAUAUUUUGCGCCGUCUGUCAGUAGGCAGGUGGAAACUCAACCAGUCUUGAGGAAGCAACUCCCAAGUCAUUUCUUCUCAGUGCCGACCAGGCCCAUGCAGUUCAUCCAAAC